rnacentral:lncRNA from 1 species
GUCUUGUGGUCUUCGAGACGUUUAAGGAGUGCUCGAUCAGGCUUCAUGGGACACUGGGCAUGUCUGCGGGUUUCCAUGCGAAAACGCUUACGUUGUCCCUUAGAAACCUGACGAGCGUGUCUUCCUAUUUGGCGUCCAGGUUGGCCCCCAUGAGAGCCGUCUUCUCUGGGCUGCCGUCGAAUAGUUGUACUUCUUUGUGGUCUUUGGACUUGGAGCUUUUUCUUGGAGUCUCCUGCUCGGGUAGUUGGAGCUGAUCAUUUUUUUUUGAGGGAGGUAGUUGGAGCCGAUCGGGUGGAACUUUGGUGGCUUGUGCUAUAGUUUCUGCCAUGCGAAUCGAGAGGUCAAUUGCCUCGGUGAUCUUGAAGCUUUCCUCUUUGCA